GACGAACGCUGGCGGCGUGCCUAAUACAUGCAAGUAGAACGCUGAAGGAGGAGCUUGCUUCUCUGGAUGAGUUGCGAACGGGUGAGUAACGCGUAGGUAACCCGCCUGGUAGCGGGGGAUAACUAUUGGAAACGAUAGCUAAUACCGCAUAAGAGUAGAUGUUGCAUGACAUUUACUUAAAAGGUGCAAUUGCAUCACUACCAGAUGGACCUGCGUUGUAUUAGCUAGUUGGUGAGGUAACGGCUCACCAAGGCAACGAUACAUAGCCGACCUGAGAGGGUGAUCGGCCACACUGGGACUGAGACACGGCCCAGACUCCUACGGGAGGCAGCAGUAGGGAAUCUUCGGCAAUGGACGGAAGUCUGACCGAGCAACGCCGCGUGGGUGAAGAAGGUUUUCGGAUCGUAAAGCUCUGUUGUAAGAGAAGAACGGGUGUGAGAGUGGAAAGUUCACACUGUGACGGUAUCUUACCAGAAAGGGACGGCUAACUACGUG
rnacentral:rRNA from 1 species